CCUACGGGAGGCAGCAGUGAGGAAUAUUGGUCAAUGGACGAGAGUCUGAACCAGCCAAGUAGCGUGAAGGAUGACUGCCCUAUGGGUUGUAAACUUCUUUUAUAUGGGAAUAAAACGUUCCACGUGUGGGAUUUUGUAUGUACCAUAUGAAUAAGGAUUGGCUAACUCCGUGCCAGCAGCCGCGGUAAUACGGAGGAUCCGAGCGUUAUCCGGAUUUAUUGGGUUUAAAGGGAGCGUAGGUGGAUUGUUAAGUCAGUUGUGAAAGUUUGCGGCUCAACCGUAAAAUUGCAGUUGAAACUGGCAGUCUUGAGUACAGUAGAGGUGGGCGGAAUUCGUGGUGUAGCGGUGAAAUGCUUAGAUAUCACGAAGAACUCCGAUUGCGAAGGCAGUUCACUGGACUGCAACUGACACUGAGGCUCGAAAGUGUGGGUAUCAAACAGGAUUAGAUACCCCUGUAGUC
rnacentral:rRNA from 1 species